GAUGAAGAACGUAGCGAAAUGCGAUAACUAAUGUGAAUUGCAGAAUUCAGUGAAUCAUCGAGUCUUUGAACGCACAUUGCGCCCCCUGGUAUUCCGGGGGGCAUGCCUGUCCGAGCGUCAUUGCUGCCCUCAAGCACGGCUUGUGUGUUGGGCUCCGUCCCCCCGGGGACGGGCCCGAAAGGCAGCGGCGGCACCGAGUCCGGUCCUCGAGCGUAUGGGGCUUUGUCACCCGCUCUGUAGGCCCGGCCGGCGCCAGCCGACAACCCAUCAUCCUUUUCAGGUUGACCUCGGAUCAGGUAGGGAUACCCGCUGAACUUAAGCAUAUCAAUAACGGAGGA
rnacentral:misc_RNA from 1 species